GCUUAACACAUGCAAGUCGAGCGAUGAAGCUUCUUCGGGAAGUGGAUUAGCGGCGGACGGGUGAGUAACACGUGGGUAACCUGCCUCAUAGAGGGGAAUAGGCCUUCCGAAAGGAAGAUUAAUACCGCAUAAGAUUGUAAUGCCGCAUGGCAUAGCAAUUAAAGGAGCAAUCUGCUAUGAGAUGGACCCGCGUCGCAUUAGCUAGUUGGUGAGGUAACGGCUCACCAAGGCGACGAUGCGUAGCCGACCUGAGAGGGGUGAUCGGCCACAUUGGGACUGAGACACGGCCCAGACUCCUACGGGAGGCAGCAGGUGGGGAAUAUUGCACAAUGGGGGAAACCCUGAUGCAGCAACGCCGCGUGAGUGAUGACGGUCUUCGGAUUGUAAAGCUCUGUCUUUAGGGACGAUAAUGACGGUACCUAAGGAGGAAGCCACGGCUAACUACGUG
rnacentral:rRNA from 1 species